ACAAAGCAUCCGUGGGAUGCGCUGGAACAAACCUGAUCCAUGGAGACCCCACCCCAAAGCAUCGACUGCCAACAUCCUAUUCCCUUGGCAACCCAAGGGAAAAGGCACCCACACAAGCCCUGUUUCCAUGCUGCAAAAUGUCAGAGCUGUUUUGGCAGCAGGAAAUGGACUGACACAGUCUUGGGCGCUUUGUACAUGGUGUACAUUCCACAGGAUUCAUUUCAUUUAAAGGUGAUCCAGGUGAUCGAUAGAUGCAUUUUUUUUCUCUGCUUAUUCUGUUGGUAUUUGUUUUUUGCCCUUCUCCCCCGUCCCUCUUCUCAGCUGUCUCUCUUUCCCUCUUUCUUUCUCCCCUUCUUUCCCCCGGUCAAGUCUGUCCCGUAUUCAGCAAGUGAAAAUAAAAUAAACAAUAAAAGGUGAAUCAAAUGGACCAUUACGGCAAGGCUGGGAUGGUCCAUUUGGUAAAGUAAAUCCGUUGGGCAUCUUUCUUUGCCUUUAGACAACAAUUCUGAUGGCAAAAGAGCCAAACGGGACAGGCAAUAAAAAAAAAAAAAAAAAAAAAAAAAAAAAGAAGUUUCCAACACUCAGUACUCACUUGGGGCCACUUUUCAUCGCUUCGACUGUUAAUGCACAGUGUACACGUUGUCAUUUUUCGAAUAUGCCAGGUAGAAUUCCAGGAUAGUAUCUUCUUAGAAUCAUCUCCCAUAAAUCCUCUUCCAAGAAUCACCUUCCCGGAAGACAAGAGAUUGUGCAGAGAAACAAUAUUUAUAGAACAUCCUUUUACUUUUGUUUUUGACUGAGCUUUUAGCUGGAGUUUGAGCAAGUCUCAAGCUACACAGUGAGAGAAAUGAUGAUGCUCUCAGUUAAAAUAAACCCUUUUCUCUUUUAGAAAGCUUUUUCCUCUCAUCAACAGUAGACUUAUCUACGGAAGCUUGUUUCCAGCACUGAAAAAAAAAGUUACCAUUCAUAUCUCAAGGCUAAAAGGGCAGGUGGCUAAUGGCCAGUGUAGGGCGUCUAAAAAUUUUGAGUUAACA
ensembl:lncRNA